CAAUAUGACAAGAUUAGUGUGUAUGACUGAGUAUAAGAAAAGUGAAAUGCAACCCGGAUCCUGGCUGCUAAAGUAGAGUAGAUAUAAAACAAAAAAAACUCAUAGGGACUUCGUCCUCACUUACAAAACUUGGGAAAGCCAUAAUAAGCUUGUGUAUGGUUUUUGGAGUCCAAUAUGACAAGAUUGGUGUGUAUGACUGAGUAUAAGAAAGUGAAAUGCAACCCGGAUCC
rnacentral:lncRNA from 1 species